UACGAAGGGGGCUAGCGUUGUUCGGAAUUACUGGGCGUAAAGCGCGCGUAGGCGGCUUUGCAAGUCGGGUGUGAAAUCCCCAGGCUUAACCUGGGAACUGCAUUCGAGACUGCAUUGCUAGAGUAUGGGAGAGGGAAGUGGAAUUUCCGGUGUAGCGGUGAAAUGCGUAGAUAUCGGAAGGAACAUCAGUGGCGAAAGCGACUUCCUGGACCAAUACUGACGCUCAUGUGCGAAAGCGUGGGGAGCAAACAGG
rnacentral:rRNA from 1 species